CCAACACACAUAAAAACUUAUACCCAUUUUUUGGUCAGAUUAGCAAGCAUGAUAUUUUUUUUGGUGUGCUGCAGAAUUUUAGUAAUUAGUUUAUGUGUGCCAUGAGAUAGAAA